AGCUUAUUCUGCGCAGGUGUAAUUCGACCGCCCGCUGAAGCGAUCAUCGCCUUCAUUGAAGAUCAGCGCGUCGAACCGAUCUGAAGGGUCCUGCCGACCG
rnacentral:ncRNA from 1 species